UGUUAUUACUGUGUUUCUAGUCUAGUCCAUAUACAAUCAAAUUAAUUUGGUGACAAUCACCAAAUUAAUCUCAUGGACACUGCAAACAACCGAUAAAUCGUUUUCAAGAAUAACUUUAUUGAAAGUGAUAUAGAAAAAAUCCAAAGGCCGUAAGCUUUUUCUAGUGCUUUCUUUUUCUUCAAAUUCUCUUUAUUCUUUUCGUUCAUGAUUUUUUGCCUUUUUUUUUAUCUAGAAAAUUGGACACUUCAUUCUUUUUUAGGGAACCUUACUUGGAUUGUCAAUUCUUUAGAAAUUUCUAAAAGAUUCCUAUGGAAUGAAUGCCUUCAAUUUUGUAGGAAGCAUCACAUCAGAUUGAAUGUCCACUAAAGAAUGCUGGUGCAAAGACCCACUCUACCCCUCUCUUGUUGAUGUGAAGUUUCUUAUGAAACAUUCAUGAGAUGCCAUGUUCUUUUCUUGGAUGGGUAAGUGGGGGAGUGGACUCUGCCCUUGAUAGGAACUAAGCUUAAGACGUAGCGUUGCAAAUUAUCAAACGUUAGUCAAUCAAGCUUAGGUUUUUUUUUUUUUCUAUGAGAGGCCACGUUCAUUAUGCUCAUUGAGUAUAUUUCCAUUAUUGUACGAAAAGUAUGGUGUAAUGGGCACUAAUCAAUAAAUUGGAUAGUGAUGGAGCAAUAGGACUCACCCUCUCAUUCCUAUACGGCACUAUCUUAACUCCUUGCAUAACACCAUCCUACGAUCAUGAUGAUUCGCAAUAUACUUCCCUAUUUUUCCAUUUCAUAUGUACACAUUAUGCUCUGCUCUAUGCCCUUGCACGUUGAUGCCACGAAUGUUUCAAAACUCAGAUCGGCGGUAUGGAUCAUUAGG
rnacentral:lncRNA from 1 species